ACAUUUACUAUAUGCUGAUCGAUGAAGAUGCAAAUUAGCCCCACCGCCACUCGCACCAGCUAGCGCCUCCGGAUCCACUCAAUUGUAGUAAACGCAAAACAAUGGCAUACAUGGUUAAUGACUGAUAAAACAAUGUUUUUACUAGCAGGCAACUACGGUGAAGUUACUUGAUGAUGUUGUGUCCUAAAAUGCCUUGAAGACUCAAAUGCAGCCUUUUGUGAUUCUUAAUUCGCGCCUGCGAUUAUACGCAUGUGAAGUGCAGAUGCUGAUGCGGAGGAGGAGUACCUUUUACAAAGNGUCGCUCAAAGGGGAGUCAGGCUGUGCGCGCGGUGGCACAGACCCUGGUUUAUAUAAGCCGGCUGCACGGUUUCACGGGCUUGGCACGCAAGUAAGAAUUUAAGCAUUGAGAGAAAAUUUUUAUUAAUUUUCUUUCUUUUUUUAAAUUGUAUGUUCAAUUAUAUAAUGACACUGUGUUAACUUGGCAUUACACGUAAAAAAACAUAGGGUUUUCAAAAUAAUGUGGUGUUUUCCUACUACAUUCAAAGCAAUGUUGUUACCUAAAAUAUAACCGUUAUCAUAUUUUUCCCCUUCUUUUUUUUUUUACUACUUUCCUCCCAGUUUGAGAGUUCCGCUUUGUUAAAUAUAAUUGAGCAAUCCCAUAGGUGGCGAUUACAGAUAUGAGUCUCAAUGUUCUCCACACAGCAGCUUACAAUAGUGUUUCAAAUGCUGUCUGUAUGCAUAGGGAUCUGAAGUCGAGCAGUAUUCUAUUUGUGAUUAUUACCUCUUAUUAUAGCAAAGGUGAGUAAAGUAUUAUCAAAUAUUGCCAUGCUACUAAAAGUCUUAUCACAGUUGACACGACGAGUCCAGUCAAGGCAUGACUUCAUCUGUUAAAUCUGAACCAGCAGCAUCUUUUAUAACUGGAGUAGAUUGGGUUAUUUGAGUCACACACAGAGCACAAAAAGGAGCAGAGAAAGAACUUAAAUUUUGUUUGUGGUAUGCCCUGUCAGAUGCUUUGACAGAUGUGUGUGGAUUUGAGUCAUGUUUCUCCAGAGCUUAACUUACAUUCGAUGUUUGUGUCCUUGUCUAAUUUUGGAAGUAAUUGAAGAGAAAAGGAGCGCAAUAAUUUUGACUAAAAUUUAUAUGUUGCUAAAAUACUUAUUUUAAAUGGUGGAUUAAUAUUCUUAAUAGUUUUUUAUUUUCCAGGAGUAUCUUUUUCAAAGGUGUCACCAUGAGCUCCCGACCUCCUGACCUCUCUGUGGCUGAGCUGUUUUAGGACAUUGUCAGAACUACAUCUUUUUUGGUCACCACAAUCUGGAUGUGUUCAGUGGGGAUUCAUCGGUGGAUUUCACCUUUGGAAAAGUUUGUUACCAGCAGAAACAAGCUGCAUCAUUACUCACCAUCAAGAUGUCCCAUCACCACCACAUCUACCACUUAUUGGUUACAGCCUUGGCACAUCUGUCUGCUUGUUUGUCCAUAGUGAACAUAGUUUUUUAUUUGUAUGUAACCAACACACUUGUACAGGAAAUCUUUAACACCUAAUUAAAGUACUUAAACAUGUUUACAAGUUUACAUUAUUAUAGUGCAGGUAACAAAAUAAUUUAUAUUUACAUUAUCUACAUUUAUACAAAUAAAUUUAUCCAUUUACAAUUUCUAUACUAAAUA
ensembl:lncRNA